CCUACGGGAGGCUGCAGUAGGGAAUAUUGCUCAAUGGGGGAAACCCUGAAGCAGCAACGCCGCGUGGAGGAUGAAGGUUUUCGGAUUGUAAACUCCUUUUGUUAGAGAAGAUAAUGACGGUAUCUAACGAAUAAACAACGGCUAACUCCGUGCCAGCAGCCGCGGUUAGACGGAGGGUGCAAGCGUUACGCGGAAUCACUGGGCGUAAAGAGCGCGGAGGCGGGAUAGCAAGUCUGAUGUGAAAUCCUAUGGCUUAACCAUAGAACUGCAUUUGACACUGUUAUUCUAGAGUGUGGGAGAGGAAGGUGGAAUUCUUGGUGGAGGGGUAAAAUCCGUAGAGAGCAAGAGGAAUACUCAUUGCGAAGGCGACCUGCUAGACCAUAACUGACGCUGAUGCGCGAAAGCGUGGGGAGCAAACAGGAUUAGAUACCCUGGUAGUC
rnacentral:rRNA from 1 species